rnacentral:tRNA from 2 species
GGAGAGAUGCCAGAGCGGUUGAAUGGGACGGUCUCGAAAACCGUUGUAGUCCUAGUGGCUACCGUGGGUUCGAAUCCCACUCUCUCCG